rnacentral:rRNA from 1 species
CCCUUAGAUGUCCGGGGCCGCACGCGCGCUACACUGAAGGAAUCAGCGUGGCUUUCUCCCUGACCCGAAAGGGUUGGGAAACCCGUUGAAUCUCCUUCGUGAUAGGGAUUGGGGCUUGAAAUUGUUCCCCAUUAACGAGGAAUUCCCAGUAAGCGCGAGUCAUAAGCUCGCGUUGAUUACGUCCCUGCCCUUUGUACACACCGCCCGUCGCUACUACCGAUUGAACGGUUUAGUGAGGGCCUCGGAUUGGUCUCGGCCCGCUCUUUACCGGGCGGCGCCGUUGGUCGAGAAGACGCUCGAACUUGAUCGUUUAGAGGAAGUAAAAGUCGUAACA